rnacentral:sRNA from 1 species
UUGGCUGUGACAUCCGGGCCAGAAAGAUGGCGUCAGUUAACGGCAGCAGCCAGAACUGUGUCUCGGGUCAGGAGCGCGGCCGGCUGGGGGUCCUGGCCAUGUCCUGCAUCAAUGAACUCAUGUCCAAGAACUGUGUGCCUAUGGAAUUUGAGGAGUAUUUACUGCGUAUGUUCCAGCAGACUUUCUACCUCCUGCAGAAAAUCACCAAGGAUAACAAUGCCCACACAGUGAAGAGCAGGCUAGAAGAGCUCGAUGAGAGAAUAUGGGGCUCCUGGUGAGGAACAGAAAGGUAGGUGUGUGCCAGUAAGUCUGAGAUUAGCUGGAAGGGCUCGGGUGGUUAAGGGAAGUGACUGAGUUUGAAAAAUGCUUGUGCCUUGUGUAGGUUUGUUGUCUUUUCUCCCCAUCCCUCUCCUGUCCUCCCUUCUACUCCUCUUGCCCCCUUUUCCUUACUAUUUGCUUGCAGGUCUGAGGUGGUGCAGGGACUGAGACUGCUGCUCCUGCGUAGCCAAGAACAGGAGGAGAGGUCCGUGGAGGUACAGGAGUUAUAAUCGCCCUUUCUCACUUGGUGUCAGUUUUUACUAUUUGACUCUUCCCAAGUGAACAUCCUGCAGUAUACAGGAAUGUUGUUGUUAUUGUGA